AAGGGAGACCUAAUUCCGGUAGGAGACGAAAAAAAAGUAGUCCCAACCAAGAAUCAAUCCCAAAAGGUCGGAACGAGGUAUGAGGCUUUCAAACUAGGUUCUGGGUUCAUAAAAGACCUGAAUCAGGAACAAGGGCUAUUAGCUCAGGUGGUUAGAGCGCACCCCUGAUAAGGGUGAGGUCCCUGGUUCGAGUCCAGGAUGUCCCACCUGCACAGGUGGCAAAAACAAGAGAAGCUCCGAAUCAGCACCUUAUCUUAUAUACAUAUAUAAGAGAGAAUGCUGACUCUGAGUACAGAGUCCAGAGGAACCUUGAAAACUGCAUAGAGCUAGGUGAAAAAGCCAAAAAAGAAGACCGCAA
rnacentral:tRNA from 1 species